CUCAGCUCACCGCAACUGUGACCCUAGCGCUCUCUCUGUUGAGACUGCAGAACAGCCCAAGGUGGUGUCUUCACUCAACCAUCUAUACGUCCCAGCAGCUGUAACGCUCAGAAGAAGCAAGUGGAGUCACCACAUAGGGCGGAUUAAACACCAGAAGAUCAACUUUUCCCUUCAAUCUUGGUAGCAAGCCUUUGACCUAAAUGUCCAAUAGUCAGAAUUUUAAGCUGGACUCAGAAUUAAAAUAGACGUCAGCUCUCAGUGUCAAGGUCACCUGGAACCACUGAAAGAGCUCACUCUGGCACUACCACAAGCCAUGUCCUGAAACAGCCGUGAGACACCUAGACAUAGAUUCCCAAGAUCUGGAUUUAAAUUCUGGAUUUAUCUCGUUAUUAAGUUAUGUGACUUUAAAAAAUGAACCUCACUU